rnacentral:tRNA from 1 species
UAAAAGAUGGCUGAGAGGUUUAGGCAUUAGAUUGUAAAUCUAAUUAGGAGGUUACUCUCUUUUAA